rnacentral:tRNA from 1 species
GCCGAAGUGGCGCAAGUUGGCAGACGCGCGGAGCUUAAACCUUCGUUGAUGAGAGUUCGAUUCUCUUCUUCGGCA